UGGCUCAGGAUGAACGCUGGCGGUCUGCUUAACACAUGCAAGUCGAACGGAGUAGAAAUACUUAGUGGCGGACGGGUGAGUAACGCGUGAGAAUCUGCCCUUAGGUCGGGGACAACCAUUGGAAACGAUGGCUAAUACCGGAUAAGCCGGAAGGUAAAAGAUUAAUUGCCUAGGGAAGAGCUCGCGUCUGAUUAGCUAGUUGGUGAGGUAAAAGCUCACCAAGGCAUCGAUCAGUAGCUGGUCUGAGAGGAUGACCAGCCACACUGGGACUGAGACACGGCCCAGACUCCUACGGGAGGCAGCAGUGGGGAAUUUUCCGCAAUGGGCGAAAGCCUGACGGAGCAAGACCGCGUGAGGGAGGAAGGCUCUUGGGUUGUAAACCUCUUUUCUUGGGGAAGAACAAAAUGACGGUACCCAAGGAAUCAGCAUCGGCUAACUCCGUGCCAGCAGCCGCGGUAAUACGGAGGAUGCAAGCGUUAUCCGGAAUUAUUGGGCGUAAAGCGUCCGCAGGUGGCACUUCAAGUCUGCUGUCAAAGACCGGGGCUUAACCCUGGAGAGGCAGUGGAAACUGAAGCGCUAGAGUGUCGUAGGGGUAGAGGGAAUUCCUGGUGUAGCGGUGAAAUGCGUAGAGAUCAGGAAGAACAUCGGUGGCGAAAGCGCUCUACUGGACGACAACUGACACUCAGGGACGAAAGCUAGGGGAGCGAAUGGGAUUAGAUACCCCAGUAGUCCUAGCCGUAAACGAUGGAUACUAGGUGUGGCUUGUAUCGACCCGAGCCGUGCCGUAGCUAACGCGUUAAGUAUCCCGCCUGGGGAGUACGCGCGCAAGCGUGAAACUCAAAGGAAUUGACGGGGGCCCGCACAAGCGGUGGAGUAUGUGGUUUAAUUCGAUGCAACGCGAAGAACCUUACCAGGGCUUGACAUGUCUGGAAUCUCUUUGAAAGAAGAGAGUGCCUUCGGGAACCAGAACACAGGUGGUGCAUGGCUGUCGUCAGCUCGUGUCGUGAGAUGUUGGGUUAAGUCCCGCAACGAGCGCAACCCUCGUUUUUAGUUGCCAUCAUUAAGUUGGGCACUCUAGAGAGACUGCCGGUGACAAACCGGAGGAAGGUGGGGAUGACGUCAAGUCAGCAUGCCCCUUACGUCCUGGGCUACACACGUACUACAAUGCGACGGACAAAGGGCAGCCAACCAGCAAUGGUGCGCUAAUCCCAUAAACCGUGGCUCAGUUCAGAUCGCAGGCUGCAACUCGCCUGCGUGAAGGAGGAAUCGCUAGUAAUUGCAGGUCAGCAUACUGCAGUGAAUCCGUUCCCGGGCCUUGUACACACCGCCCGUCACACCAUGGAAGCUGGCCACGCCCGAAGUCGUUACCCUAACCUGUAUUGGAGGGGGAUGCCGAAGGCAGGGCUGGUGACUGGGGUGAAGUCGUAACAAGGUAGCCGUACCGGAAGGUGUGGCUGGAUCACCUCCUUUUAGGGAGACCUGUUUGACAAUCGGUAAUUAAGAUGAAAAUCUUAGUUGCGUUUGUCAAAGCAUCCCAAGGUCGUACGAGGCAGUAGACUUAAACUUUUAAACUAUUAACCGGUUCGGUGCAUGGGCUAUUAGCUCAGGUGGUUAGAGCGCACCCCUGAUAAGGGUGAGGUCCCUGGUUCGAGUCCAGGAUGGCCCAUCCUCUGCACUGUGAGUGAUAAGUAAUUAGGAACUCAACCCUCAGCACCUUAUUUUGGUAACAAUCAAAACUUGAUUGGUCUCAAAAGAGAAUGCUGGGCGUAAAGUCCAGUCAUGUACCUUGAAAACUGCAUAGCAAAAAGAAGAGAAACUUGAAGAAAUUUCUAGUAGCAAGUGCUUACUUAAGUUAAGGACAGCUAGAUAGAGAAACAAUCAAGCAAUAUUCAAGAAAGUGGUCAAGCUACAAAGAGCUUAUGGUGGAUACCUAGGCACACAGAGGCGAAGAAGGACGUAGCGACCGACGAAACGUUCCGGGGAGCUGGAAGCAAGCGAUGAGCCGGAAAUCUCCGAAUGGGGCAACCCCAAGUACAGCCUGUUGAAUCUAUAGACAGGUAUGAGCCAACCCAGCGAACUGAAACAUCUUAGUAGCUGGAGGAAAAGAAAUCAAAAGAGAUUCCCCUAGUAGCGGCGAGCGAAGCGGGAAGAGCCUAAACCAGUUGUUUUAAUAACUGGGGUCGUGGGACAGCGUCAUGGAAUCAGAAGCACUAGACGAAGCUGAAGGAAUGCAGCACCAGAGGAGGUGAAAGUCCUGUAGUCGAAAGUGGCAAGAUACUAGCUGUAUCCCGAGUAGCAUGGGGCACGUGAAAUCCCGUGUGAAUCAGCGAGGACCAUCUCGUAAGGCUAAAUACUCCUGUGUGACCGAUAGUGAACCAGUACCGCGAGGGAAAGGUGAAAAGAACCCCGGAAGGGGAGUGAAAUAGAACCUG
rnacentral:rRNA from 1 species